rnacentral:rRNA from 1 species
CCUACGGGCGGCAGCAGUGAGGAAUAUUGGUCAAUGGACGAGAGUCUGAACCAGCCAAGUAGCGUGAAGGAUGACGGCCCUAUGGGUUGUAAACUUCUUUUAUAAAGGAAUAAAACGAGGCACGUGUGCCUUUUUGCAUGUACUUUAUGAAAAAGGAUCGGCUAACUCCGUGCCAGCAGCCGCGGUAAUACGGAGGAUCCGAGCGUGAUCCGGAGUUAGUGGGUUUAAAGGGAGCGUAGAUUGGUUGUUAAGUCAGUUGUGAAAGUUUGCGGCUCAACCGUAAAAUUGCAGUUGAUACUGGCAGUCUUGAGUACAUUUGAGGUAGGCGGAAUGCGUGGUGUAGCGGUGAAAUGCUUAGAUAUCACGAAGAACCCCGAUUGCGAAGGCAGCUUACUAGACUGUGACUGACAUUGAUGCUCGACAGUGUGGGUAUCAAACAGGAUUAGCUACCCUUGUAGUC